CCUACGGGGGGCACCAGUGGGGAAUAUUGCACAAUGGGCGCAAGCCUGAUGCAGCCAUACCGCCUGUAUGAAGAAGGCCUUCGGGUUGUAAAGUACUUUCAGCGGGGAGGAAGGCGAUAAGGUUAAUAACCUUGUCGAUUGACGAUACCCGCAGAAGAAGCACCGGCUAACUCCGUGCCAGCAGCCGCGGUAAUACGGAGGGUGCAAGCGAUAAUCGGAAUUACUGGGCGUAAAGCGCACGCAGGCGGUCUGUCAAGUCGGAUGUGAAAUCCCCGGGCUCAACCUGGGAACUGCAUUCGAAGCUGGCAGGCUGGAGUCUUGUAGAGGGGGGUAGAAUUCCAGGUGUAGCGGUGAAAUGCGUAGAGAUCUGGAGGAAUACCGGUGGCGAAGGCGGCCCCCUGGACAAAGACUGACGCUCAGGUGCGAAAGCGUGGGGAGCAAACAGGAUUAGAUACCCCAGUAGUC
rnacentral:rRNA from 1 species